rnacentral:miRNA from 10 species
UCGCAAAUAUUAGGUUGGUGCAAAAGUAAUUGCGGUUUUGCCAUUACUUUUAAUUGCAAAAACCACAAUUACUUUUGCACCAAAGUAUAAUU